UCGAUUUUGCUCAACUUUAAUCUUCAUUACGUCCAUCACACUUUCAAGUAACGGUCUUCUGACAACCGGGGUACACAGGGGUCUGUUGGAAAGCAAGCAGUUUGUUGUACUUGUCAAUACCAGCAGUGUUGACAGCUCUAGGGAAGGGCUGCACCGGGUCAGGCAUAUACUGUCCUUGAGCGCAUACACCGCUCUCAUAAGGAAACAUGUCGUUGAUGAAGACCGUUGUUGGAUCGUUGGAUGUACUGCCCGUCUCAGAAAAUUGGCCAUGAUCAUACGGACCCCCAGAUGAUGUUUCACCGAGAUAUAACCAACAUGUGUAUUUCUCCCAAAACCCGUUACUCUUCAGGUGCUGCCGUACUUUGUUAAUUGCAAAUCGAUGCAUAUCGUUGCGACACUGACAUUUCGUGCACUGGCAAUAGAAAAUUGUAUUCCCGUUAGCAUUAGCGCUGAUAUUCCAGAAAACUCAUAAUUCUUUUACCAUAUCUUUUGUCCCAUUUUGGAAGCGAAAUCCAACUCUUAUCCAUAUCCUGAAAAUAUAAUAAAAUAUAUAUGUAUAACGCUAGCUAGCUAAUUAUUAAUUAAAUUCUAUGCCAUAUAUAAAAUUUUAAUUCAUUUAUAUAUAUAUUCUACGUACUACAACUAAUUGAUAACAAAUUAAUUAACACAUAUAUAUAGAUAUACUUAAUUAAUAAUUACAUAACAAUAUUAUAUAUAUCAACAUCAUCACAAAAUCAUCAUUAACAACUUCAUACCAUCAACACAAUAUUAUAAAUUAAUUAACAUAUAUAUAUAUCUACUACUUAUUAACAACAACUUCAUAUAUAUUAUCAAAUCAUCAAAAUCGAUAAACCCAACGUACUCAAAAUCUAUCAAUUCAAUCACACUUAAAAUCGAUAAACUCAAAUAAAACUCAAAAUCAACAUAUAUACACAUGUACGUACCUAUAUAUAGCUCCACUUCUUAAUUAUGGAUAGAUUUCAACAACACCCAAACUUUUUCUCCCGUUUUUUCUUCUCCAGUUUUUUUCUCAGAUGAGCUGCUGUCUAGAUCUGCGAAUAUAAAGAACUUUAGCCGACGAAAUUAUAUUUUCGUCGGCUAUAGUCAACUUUAGCCGACGAAAUUAAAAUUUCGUCAGCUAAAGAAUGUUUAAAGUCGUCGGCUAAAGUCUGUGACUUUAGC
rnacentral:lncRNA from 1 species